rnacentral:rRNA from 1 species
UACGUAGGGUGCAAGCGUUAAUCGGAAUUAUUGGGCGUAAAGAGCUCGUAGGCGGUUUGUCGCGUCUGCUGUGAAAACUGGGGGCUCAACCCCCAGCCUGCAGUGGGUACGGGCAGACUAGAGUGCGGUAGGGGAGAUUGGAAUUCCUGGUGUAGCGGUGGAAUGCGCAGAUAUCAGGAGGAACACCGAUGGCGAAGGCAGAUCUCUGGGCCGUAACUGACGCUGAGGAGCGAAAGCAUGGGGAGCGAACAGG